rnacentral:rRNA from 1 species
UACGGAGGGUGCUAGCGUUGUUCGGAAUCACUGGGCGUAAAGCGCGUGUAGGCGGUCUGCUAAGUCUGAUGUGAAAGCCCGGGGCUCACCCCCGGAAGUGCAUUGGAAACUGGCAGACUGGAGUCCCGGAGAGGAGGGUGGAAUUCCUGGUGUAGCGGUGAAAUGCGUAGAUAUCAGGAGGAACACCGGUGGCGAAGGCGGCCCUCUGGACGGUGACUGACGCUGAGACGCGAAAGCGUGGGGAGCAAACAGG